rnacentral:rRNA from 1 species
CAGUAGCCGCGGUAAUACGAAGGGUGCAAGCGUUAAUCGGAAUUACUGGGCGUAAAGCGUGCGUAGGCGGUGAGUUAAGUCUGCUGUGAAAUCCCCGGGCUCAACCUGGGAAUGGCAGUGGAUACUGGCUCGCUAGAGUGUGUCAGAGGAUGGUGGAAUUCCCGUUGUAGCGGUGAAAUGCGUAGAGAUCGGGAGGAACAUCAGUGGCGAAGGCGGCCAUCUGGGACAACACUGACGCUGAGGCACGAAAGCGUGGGGAGCAAACAGGAUUAGAUACCCCCGUAGUCCCUGUCUCUUAUAC